UACGGAGGGUGCAAGCGUUAUCCGGAUUUACUGGGUUUAAAGGGUGUGUAGGCGGGUCUUUAAGUCAGGGGUGAAAUCUCCGAGCUCAACUUGGAAACUGCCAUUGAUACUAUUGAUCUUGAAUUCUGUUGAGGUGGGCGGAAUAUGUCAUGUAGCGGUGAAAUGCAUAGAUAUGACAUAGAACACCAAUUGCGAAGGCAGCUCGCUACACAUAUAUUGACUCUGAGGCACGAAAGCGUGGGGAUCAAACAGG
rnacentral:rRNA from 1 species